UAUAUCUUUAAGUGUAACAUGGAGUUGUUUUACCUGUGUUAAAACAAUGUAAAUGGUAUGAUAGCUGAGUUGAAGAAGUUCAGUAUUAAAACAAAAACCAUAAGUCUUUUACACCAGUGUGUAAAGACACACUCUGAAGUAUGACUCAGUGGCACACCC